rnacentral:lncRNA from 1 species
UUUUUAGCACUCUUUUGUACCUAAUUUUCUGAAGUUCUCCUGCAUAUAACUCUUAAAAAGAUGUAUUUCUUUAUUUUGGUUCCUUGUUGUAAUUGAAGGUCCUUCCAGGCCAAACUCACCUAAAACCUGGGUCACUCCCUAUCUUUCCACUGCAUCAUCACGAUUCAUCCCUAUUGUUAUGGACAGAAGUUCAUCUCAACCA